AGAAUGUGGCAGAGGAGGCAUCAUGUUCAGGAAGACUGUUGUUCUAGGACGCAGCUCCUCUCUCACACUCUGGGUGUGCUGACAUUGCAAUUUUCCAAAACGUGAGAAAUCUGGCUGCAUAAUAUGUGGUAGUGAAGGACUAUAGUUGUAUUCCUCCUUG
ensembl:snRNA U1 U1 spliceosomal RNA